AUCUCACUUCGUGAGAAUUCUGAGGCGGAGAGGGUUCCGACUGCCUUAGGAUUGAGACAGACUCCUGUUAAUCUGAUAAAGGCUAUUCAAUUUGUCAUCUCAUCUGCUAUUGUCUGGAUACUUGGUGAGUCGAGAAAAUUAGUACAAAAAUGUCGGGAUUUUAGAAGACUUGCUAUACAAGAAUCGACUAAUGCUAAACGCAAUGGAGGCUUCCGUAAUUAUCUGCUGGUGCAAUUAGUUUCAACAAGGAUAACGCUGGAUCCGAGAUGCGUUACGCCAGUACGGGACUUUUACAAAUGGUUGUUGGUUCUUUCAUUACUGAAUGCAUAUAAGAAUCUACUGCAAGCUGCUCUGAAGGAGGAACCUGACCAGAUAAGUUAUUUCAGGAAUCUAUUAUUCCUGUAAACCCAAGCUUGUUUGCUCUUCCCGAACAGAUCAGAAAGUUUCUUCAGAAAAUACAGCCCGGAAGAGCCCAAGGAAUUGAAUUUAACAUGUGCGUGUAAAGUGUCUCCAGUUCUAGUGCGUGUAAAGUGUCUCCAGUUCUAGUGCGUGUAAAGUGUCUCCAUUUUUAGUGCGUGUAAAGUGUCUCCAGUUCUAGUGCGUGUAAAGUGUCUCCAGUUCUAGUGCGUGUAAAGUGUCUCCAGUUCUAGUGCGUGUAAAGUGUCUCCAGUUCUAGUGCGUGUAAAGUGUCUCCAGUUCUAGUGCGUGUAAAGUGUCUCCAGUUCUAGUGCGUGUAAAGUGUCUCCAGUUCUAGUGCGUGUAAAGUGUCUCCAGUUCUAGUGCGUGUAAAGUGUCUCCAGUUCUAGUGCGUGUAAAGUGUCUCCAGUUCUAGUGCGUGUAAAGUGUCUCCAGUUCUAGUGCGUGUAAAGUGUCUCCAGUUCUAGUGCGUGUAAAGUGUCUCCAGUUCUAGUGCGUGUAAAGUGUCUCCAGUUCUAGUGCGUGUAAAGUGUCUCCAGUUCUAGUGCGUGUAAAGUGUCUCCAGUUCUAGUGCGUGUAAAGUGUCUCCAGUUCUAGUGCGUGUAAAGUGUCUCCAGUUCUAGUGCGUGUAAAGUGUCUCCAGUUCUAGUGCGUGUAAAGUGUCUCCAGUUCUAGUGCGUGUAAAGUGUCUCCAGUUCUAGUGCGUGUAAAGUGUCUCCAGUUCUAGUGCGUGUAAAGUGUCUCCAGUUCUAGUGCGUGUAAAGUGUCUCCAGUUCUAGUGCGUGUAAAGUGUCUCCAGUUCUAGUGCGUGUAAAGUGUCUCCAGUUCUAGUGCGUGUAAAGUGUCUCCAGUUCUAGUGCGUGUAAAGUGUCUCCAGUUCUAGUGCGUGUAAAGUGUCUCCAGUUCUAGUGCGUGUAAAGCGUCUCCAGUUCUAGUGCGUGUAAAGCGUCUCCAGUUCUAGUGCGUGUAAAGCGUCUCCAGUUCUAGUGCGUGUAAAGCGUCUCCAGUUCUAGUGCGUGUAAAGCGUCUCCAGUUCUAGUGCGUGUAAAGCGUCUCCAGUUCUAGUGCGUGUAAAGUGUCUCCAGUUCUAGUGCGUGUAAAGUGUCUCCAGUUCUAGUGCGUGUAAAGUGUCUCCAGUUCUAGUGCGUGUAAAGUGUCUCCAGUUCUAGUGCGUGUAAAGUGUUCUAAAUGGCGCCAUUUAAAACGAGAUAUCUAUAAAUGUAAAUGUGUAAUCUCAGUUUUAUGUAUUUAAC